rnacentral:rRNA from 1 species
CAUAGAGUGUAAAGGCAUAAGGGAGCUUGACUGCGAGACCUACAAGUCGAGCAGGGUCGAAAGACGGACUUAGUGAUCCGGUGGUUCCGCAUGGAAGGGCCAUCGCUCAACGGAUAAAAGCUACCCCGGGGAUAACAGGCUUAUCUCCCCCAAGAGUUCACAUCGACGGGGAGGUUUGGCACCUCGAUGUCGGCUCAUCGCAUCCUGGGGCUGUAGUCGGUCCCAAGGGUUGGGCUGUUCGCCCAUUAAAGCGGUACGCGAGCUGGGUUCAGAACGUCGUGAGACAGUUCGGUCCCUAUCCGUCGUGGGCGUAGGAAAUUUGAGAGGAGCUGUCCUUAGUACGAGAGGACCGGGAUGGACAUACCUCUGGUGUACCAGUUGUCGUGCCAACGGCAUAGCUGGGUAGCUAUGUGUGGACGGGAUAAGUGCUGAAAG